UAAUUAGAAAUAAUUUAUUUUAAGUUUUCAGUUUUGGAUCAUUUUAGGCUAUCAAAAGCUUUACCAACUAAAAUUUUUAACAGAUUGCUGUUAGGCUUCAUUUUCACUGCCGAAGUAUCUAAAUGACACGAAACUCUAAAUUUAGCCUCAGAAAAAUAGUAUAGUCAACUUUUCAAAGUUUUAUAACUUUUUAUCACCAUAAAUUUUUCAGCUGAAAUAUUAUCCCCAUCCCUUAUAAAAAUUUCAAAACUCUUAUUUUCAUUCCAAUUUUGCUGCAAAUCAUUUCUAAAUUAUCCUUUACUAAUCUAAUUCCGAUAAAAAUAGUAUCUCACACUUUUUUUAUUUACACUUAUUUCUAUAUUAAAAACCCGAUGUACUAC
rnacentral:lncRNA from 1 species